UCUCCCCAGAAUCAAUUUCAAGCCUCUGGGUUAUUCAUGCUUCCUUCUGUUUUGGGCUUCUCUGUUUGCUCUGUUUUCCUUUCUGAAGAGGCUUCUUUCUGUGAAUUCUAGUUCUCUACUAUUUUAUCACGUAAAACAUCCGGAGUGGCUUCUGGUAGGAGCAUCUUCCAGGGAUGAGGAGACAUCCGGGAGAGCAAACAGAGUUUGGAGAGACUGCAAUCCCAUCGGCAUGCCUAACAGCCCAGCUUGUUGGGAGGUGUGGAGCGGGCAUCAAAGUUGGCCCACUUUUUGGCAAGGUUCCCAGAUUCAAGGUUAAAUAGGAAAAGAGAAAUGUUUACAGUGGUGACCUUGAAAUUCAUCCAGAAGUAGGGGCGAAACUGAUACUAAGAAAAUAAGCAAUUUGCUCUAAGAAAAAAGAAGAUUAUUUUCCACGUCUCUAAUGCCAAAGUUUUCUGCCUGUCAAUAAUCCAAGAAAUUCAUGAAGUGAAAUGAACAAUAAAUUUCUAUCUCUUGGCACUGAAAGUGCAUAAUUCAAUUUUUUAUUUGACCGAGUCUAUACUGUUCAACGCUCCUAGGAACCAACACCUUAUCGCGGCCGGAGAGUUUGCAUACGUCACUGAAGCUUUGAGCUAUGCCACUGAGAGGGA
rnacentral:lncRNA from 1 species